UCCUCUGUGGCUCUUUUGGUAGAGCAUGGCACUUGCAAUGCCAGGAUAGUGGGUUUAGAUUCCUCCUGGGGCC
rnacentral:tRNA from 1 species